rfam:Triticum urartu cultivar G1812 contig615533, whole genome shotgun sequence.
AUUUUACUCCCUCCGUUCCGAAUUACUUGUCGCAAGUAUGGAUGCAUCUAGAUGUAUUUUAGUUCUAGAUACAUCCAUUUCCACGACGAGUAAUUUGGAACGGAGCGAGUACAUA